AUGUUUCUUUAUGGAUUAUGGAAGCGGGCUAGCCCAAUCAGACGAAUUCAGAAUUCAGAGGAAGUAAGCAAGCUGAGCGUGUCAUGCGUGCAUACGACUCGCACGCACGAGCGAGACUGCCCUCGGGGGGAGGCCUCCAGAUCCCUUCGCUGCCAGAUCCCUCCUCGCGAUCCUCCCGACGUCCUCGCGCCGCCGUCCUCUUCUUCUCUGCGACUCCUCUGUGCACGACGCCCUGACCGACGCCGGCGAGUCCUCGGCACUCCGCGUGCGCCUCGCAUCCAACGCCGGGGAGGAUCGCGUGACUCCGCCCGCGUCGUCGCCUCCGACGCUGGCCUCUCCUUCACCACCGUCCCUGCCGGCAGGGUCCCCCUCGUCAUGGCCUUCCUCGCCUGGGUGUACGUCACCAGCUGGCCAUAUGGCAGGACGCGCAGACCCGGGCGAUCCUCUCCGGCCUCCUUGAGAAGAGCUCGACUCCAGCCCGGCGACGACGAUGACCUGAUUCCUACCCGACGAAUGAGUGGAUCUGAAGGAGAGAGGGCGAGAAGAAGAGGCGCCGUGUGUCUUGUAGUGGUCACUGGAGGGAGCAAACCAAAUGACCAUAUAUCUACUACUCAGAUCACGGGGGUUCUGGAGUCCUUGGCGUGUGCAACUUGUGAAAGUGGCAGUAUUUUUGAGGGUUUGAUGCUUGCAGACCUCAAUAUUUAUGUCACAACAGCAUCUAAUGCAGAAGAAAGCACCUGGGGUACAUACUGCCCAGGAAUGGAGCCAUCGCCUCCUUCUGAGUAUAUUACCUGCUUAGGUGAUCUCUACAGUAUUUCCUGGAUGGAAGACAGAAAUAGCAUCGGCUGCAUAGAUGGAGCGCCGAUCUGGAGGCCCCUGAUCGGAAGGGAAGCCACUGGAGCUGCUGCGGGAGAUGGUGGCGGUACGCUGGUAGAGCUUGGAGCAGACGUGGAGGGGCCGGACCUGCUGGUCCUUGAAGGUGCUGAAGUUUGUUUUAAAGGUUUGCCAUGUUUCUUUAAAAUUUAUCCGUUGAAUUUGUAUGUCUGCUCCACUGGGCUGCUGCUGCAAGCUUUCAUGUUUGGCUCUUGCACCAUUGUUUCAUAUUUGUGUACAUGUACUAAGAAAAGGAACGGCUUGUGUUCCACGAUGUACCUGUAUUGCGGCAUGAUCCAAGGAGUGGAUCACUGCAUAUAUCCUGACAUGACUGGUCUGUUAUUGUUAUCUUCUUGGGAGUACUUGAGAAGGCGCGGCGGGGAAGGUGGGGACACGCCAUGGCAGAGGCCAGUGGCAAACCUACGUGUAAGCCCUGAGGUCCGGGGAAGGUCGGAGACUGAUGUGGAUGCGCAAGGGCAGCGCUGGCCUCUGCCUAGAAGGGCAAUCACAGUGUACAGAGCUCUAGCAGCACUACGCCGUCAUCCUCUGCCUCACCCCGGCCGCAUGAAUUUCAAGAGAUGCAAGGAAGUAGGAGGAAGAAGAAAUGCAGGCGACCUCAUGAAAGUCACAGCAGCAAAGAUCCACAGUCUGUUAUUGUUAUCUUCUUGGGAGUACUUGGAAGGCGUGGCGGGGAAGGUGGGGAAACGCCAUGGCAGAGGCCAGUGGCAAACCUACGUUGAAUUUGAUCAAGAUUUUGUUAUUUUAAGUACAUUUGUACAUUCCGUUGUUUAUUUAAAUAAAUUUCCCACACAAAAACACAAUAACAGUUGGGAGGGCUGCUUUAUAUCCCUAGACCCCCACCCACACCUGACCGCCAUCUCCCUCUUUCCUCGGUAUCAUAACCUGAUGCGACGUUGGCGGCGCAGCAGUCCGGAGGAGGCCAGCAGUGCCGACGACGGCUCUGCGAUGGGGAAAGGGAAGAGACAUGAUCAUAUCGAUCACCAGUCAUGGAGUCAAGUGGUUGUUGUCGUCAAGCUAAAUGUUGAAAUUUUGCCAAUCAUACCGGUCUGUAGCUAUAUCACAUUGCAAAAUUCCAUGAACAUGUGGUCCACAUUAUUUUUCACAUUGCAAAAUUCCAUGAACAUGUGGUCCACAUUAUUUUUCUAUUAUAUUUUUCCUGCCCAAGCGUGGAUGCAGGUGGAUGUGGGCGCCGCGGCUGCCACCAAGGAUGUAGGGGUCAUGCUACAACCGGUGAGGACACAAUAG
rnacentral:rRNA from 1 species